UUUUUUUUUUUUGGUCGAAAAUGAACUGAUUUCAUUACCAUAGUAAAGAAGUGAGGCCCGUAAGAUGGGCGUCAUUACAUAAAAGAUCCAACAAAGUUUGAGGAGGAUGUGAGGCCCAAUUCAGAGGUAAGUAGCCAUGUUUGUGGGCUUUUACUACCCAAUCUGCUACUAGGUUGGCUUCUCUAAGGUAAUGGAUUAUUUGCACGUGUCUGAAGGCCCGCAUUUUAUCUUUGCACUUACUGACAAUAGAUUGAGUUUCCCAACUCAACACUUCUGAACUAUUCAUCGCUUUUACCAGUUGUAAGUUAUCUGACUCAAAGAUCAUCUCUUCGUGUCUUCUAGAAAAGAAAGCGUUCAAGGCCUCCCAUAGAGCUAGGGUUUCAGUCAUCAAAGGGGAAGACGCUCUGACCGAAUUAAUCGCUCCUCCAACCAUUCUUCCUCCCGAGUCCCUGCAAAUACAAGCUACGAAGUUUUUCUUUGAACCAGGUGUGUAUGAUCCAUCUAUAUUUACCUUGUAUGCUCCUUUCUGCGGUGGGAUCCAGAUCUGGGGAUUUCCAGCUUCUUGAAUUUGAUUUCUUUCAUCCGCAGCGAGCUCCAAGCUUCCAGAUCUGCUCUCUUCAUGCACACUCGAGCUCUCAUCAGACCGAAGGAUAGUUGUUUUGAGCCGAGGUCGCUGAACUUCCUUUCCAGAUCUGCUUCGCGACCCAGCUCCAGCUUCUGCUAUCUGCGGUUCCUGUCUAGAUCUACUUCGCGACCCAGCCCCAACUUCAACUACCUGCGGUCUCCACAUACCGACUGGUUUGCAACCCGAUUCAUCUUGUGUUCUGGUAGAUCGGUGAAGCGGUCAAAAUGACCCAAAACCCCAAGACACUAUGCUCAGCCAAAUCAAAAAAUAUUGGAGUGCUCUAGGGCUAUUCACCUAUCAUUAUGCCUAUAUUUCACUAAAGAUGCUUUUUUACUUAAUUUCAACCCCCGCAGUAGGCUAGGGCGUACACUACGCUCUGUUAAAGUUAAUUAAAUCAAAUUG
rnacentral:lncRNA from 1 species